rnacentral:rRNA from 1 species
UACGGGUCGCUCCAGUGGGGAAUAUUGCGCAAUGGGGGAAACCCUGACGCAGCGACGCCGCGUGUAGGAAGAAGGCCUUCGGGUCGUAAACUACUGUCAGGAGGGAAGAAACUGUUCGGAAGUAAUAUGUCCGUUCACUGACGGUACCUCCAGAGGAAGCACCGGCUAACUCCGUGCCAGCAGCCGCGGUAAUACGGAGGGUGCGAGCGUUAAUCGGAAUCACUGGGCGUAAAGCGUGCGUAGGCGGCGCAUCAAGUCAGGCGUGAAAGCCCUCGGCUCAACCGAGGAAUUGCGCUUGAAACUGUUGUGCUAGAGUCUCGGAGAGGUUGGCGGAAUUCCAGGUGUAGGAGUGAAAUCCGUAGAUAUCUGGAGGAACACCGGUGGCGAAGGCGGCCAACUGGACGAGUACUGACGCUGAGGUACGAAAGCGUGGGGAGCAAACAGGAUUAGAUACCCGGGUAGUC